rnacentral:tRNA from 1 species
GACUUAAAAUCCGUAAAAAAAUAUUUAAGCUAUCCCC